rnacentral:rRNA from 1 species
UACGUAGGGAGCAAGCGUUGUCCGGAAUCAUUGGGCGUAAAGCGCGCGUAGGCGGCCUCAUAAGUCCGUUGUGAAAGUCAAAGGCUCAACCUUUGAAAGCCGAUGGAUACUGUGAGGCUAGAGUCCGGAAGAGGCGAGUGGAAUUCCUGGUGUAGCGGUGGAAUGCGCAGAUAUCAGGAGGAACACCAAUAGCGAAGGCAGCUCGCUGGGACGGUACUGACGCUGAGGAGCGAAAGCGUGGGUAGCAAACAGG